rnacentral:misc_RNA from 1 species
GAUGAAGAACGCAGCGAAAUGCGAUAAGUAGUGUGAAUUGCAGAAUUCAGUGAAUCAUCGAAUCUUUGAACGCACAUUGCGCCCGCUGGUAUUCCGGCGGGCAUGCCUGUUCGAGCGUCAUCUCAACCCUCAAGCUCUCCGGAGUUUGGUGUUGGGGCGCCUGGGGCUUUUCGACCUCAGGGCCCUCAAGUCCAUCGGCGGGACCGCCAGGACACUGAGCGCAGUAGUAUUAUUUCGCUCGGUAGGAUCUUCCACGGCGGGUCGAUCUGGCCGCUAAACCCCCCAAUUCUCACCAAAGGUUGACCUCGGAUCAGGUAGGAAUACCCGCUGAACUUAAGCAUAUCAAUAAGCGGAGGA